UGUCACGUUGAAAACACCGAUCUUCGUCUAAUCACCGAAGUUAAGCCAGAUCGAAUCUAGAAUACUACUUAGAUGGGUGACCGUUUGUGAAAGCUAAGU
rnacentral:rRNA from 1 species